rnacentral:rRNA from 1 species
GACGAACGCUGGCGGCGUGCUUAACACAUGCAAGUCGAACGAAAAGCGACGGAAGCUUGCUUCUGUCAGUCUUAGUGGCGGACGGGUGAGUAACGCGUAAUCAACCUUCCCUUCUGAGGGGAACAACAGUUGGAAACGACUGCUAAUACUGCAUACGACCUCACCUCGGCAGCGAGGAGAGAUGAAAGGUGGCCGGUACAUGUAAGCUAUCACUGAAGGAGGGGAGUGCGGCAGAUUAGCUAGUUGGCGUGGUAACGGCGCACGAAGGUGAGGAUCAGUAGUCCGACGGCGAGGAUGGACAGCCAGAUUGAGAGGGAGACAGGGCCCAGAGUGCUACGGAAGGGAGCAGGGCUGAAACGGGCGCAAGGGAUGAGAAACUGACGGAGAAACGCGGAGUGCGUGAUGACGGCCUCCGGGUUGUAGAGCUCUGUUAUUCGGGUCGAAAGGCCUUCUUGCGAAUAGUGAGAAGGAUUGACGGUACCGGAAUAGAAAGCCACGGCUAACUACGUG